rnacentral:lncRNA from 1 species
CUCUGUAGGACUGAAAGUGCUCUUGAUUCUGCUUCUCACCUUCCCUGUCCUCUUCCUGGACUCUUCCUUGGAACUGUCAGUUCUUCUGGGGUUUCAGCUUGCCUGGAUUUCUUGUUCAUUGGAGGCAGAAGAGCCUGCUGGGAAGUAAGCUUAAGCUGGGGCUCAGGAGCAUCGGCUCUGGACAAGCUGGUGAGACUGCCUGACACUUGUGUUUUGAAGGGGAGAGGAAGGUGAUGGAAAAGGAUCAGAAACUUCCUGGAAGGAAAGAAUCUGAACACGUGGAAUGUGACCUGGAAGAAAGUCUUAGUCAUCAGGGUUAAGAUUAGUGUCAGAGUUCACCCAAGUUCCAGAGGAGGCUGGCCUGAUCAUCAGCUGGGCUACGUGGAGACCUGGUGCUCCUUCAUAGCAAGUGACCUUGGGCCCAACUCUGAAUUCAGCCACACGAACACUGCCUGUGAAGCACUGGCAGGUCAGUCUGCUUCCACUGGCUUCUCUUUUCAUUUCUUCCACAGUCACACACAGAGCCUUGAUUCAAGCUUCUAGGAAUUAAUAAAGGAAGAGACAAACAUUAGCCUUACCAAGAUUCUAAUUAACUUUGAUGUGGAUUUAUGUGUAAAGUUGGAUGAGUCACUGAUUUUUAAUAAAUGAGAGAGAAAAAUCUUAAAGAUUAAUGUAAUAGCUGGGAACACAGGAGCGAGAACUUUGAUGCUUGCUUAAUUCUUCUCCCCAACCCACAUCAUUUGGAGGAAAAAAUAUCAAAGAACUUUACAAAGGGUGGAAG